GCCACAGCUCAGUGGAAGAGCAUUUGCUUGCAAGCAGAAGGUCACAGGUUCAAUCCCUGGCUUCUACA